UACGUAGGGGGCGAGCGUUGUCCGAAGUUACUGGGCGUAAAGCGCGCGUAGGCGGCCACUUAAGUCUGGGGUGAAAGGUUCAGCGCUCAACGUGAACAGUGCCUUGGAUACUGGGUGGCUUGAGUCCGGGAGAGGGUAGUGGAAUUCCUGGUGUAGCGGUGAAAUGCGUAGAUAUCAGGAGGAACACCUGCGGUGUAGACGGCUUUCUGGACCAUUGCUGACGCUGAGACACGAAAGCGUGGGGAGCAAACAGG
rnacentral:rRNA from 1 species